CCUACGGGUGGCAGCAGUGAGGAAUAUUGGUCAAUGGACGAGAGUCUGAACCAGCCAAGUAGCGUGAAGGAUGACUGCCCUAUGGGUUGUAAACUUCUUUUAUAUGGGAAUAAAAUGUUCCACGUGUGGGAUUUUGUAUGUACCAUAUGAAUAAGGAUCGGCUAACUCCGUGCCAGCAGCCGCGGUAAUACGGAGGAUCCGAGCGUUAUCCGGAUUUAUUGGGUUUAAAGGGAGCGUAGGUGGAUUGUUAAGUCAGUUGUGAAAGUGUGCGGCUCAACCGUAAAAUUGCAGUUGAAACUGGCAGUCUUGAGUAUAGUAGAGGUGGGCGGAAUUCGUGGUGUAGCGGUGAAAUGCUUAGAUAUCACGAAGAACUCCGAUCGCGAAGGCAGUUCACUGGACUGAAACUGACACUGAGGCUCGAAAGUGUGGGUAUCAAACAGGAUUAGAUACCCUAGUAGUC
rnacentral:rRNA from 1 species